CAGCAGUGAGGAAUAUUGGUCAAUGGGCGCGAGCCUGAACCAGCCAAGUCGCGUGAGGGAGGACGGCCCUACGGGUUGUAAACCUCUUUUGCCGGGGAGCAACGGGCGUCACGUGUGGCGCCACUGAGAGUACCCGGAGAAAAAGCAUCGGCUAACUCCGUGCCAGCAGCCGCGGUAAUACGGAGGAUGCGAGCGUUAUCCGGAUUUAUUGGGUUUAAAGGGUGCGUAGGCGGAUCGUUAAGUCAGUGGUCAAAUUGAGGGGCUCAACCCCUUCCCGCCAUUGAAACUGGCGAUCUUGAGUGGAAGAGAAGUAUGCGGAAUGCGUGGUGUAGCGGUGAAAUGCAUAGAUAUCACGCAGAACCCCGAUUGCGAAGGCAGCAUGCCGGCUUCCGACUGACGCUGAAGCACGAAAGCGUGGGGAUCGAACAGGAUUAGA
rnacentral:rRNA from 1 species